AUGCAAGCUCACAACCUAUGUCUUCUGAAGAAAAAUCAUUUCUGUUGCAGAUUUUGCAUUUAGACCGAAUGAGAACCAUUUUGUUGCCCAUCCAAGGAUAAGGAAAAGGCCAACACCACCAACAUGGUCAACAAGGUUCUUUGUUUGUUUACCCCUU